GGCGGUUAUUGGGUGAUGCACCCCAGAAUCAGGCUCCCUCCUCUCUGGUUCCGGGUGCAUCUGCCAAGAACCACA
rfam:Myotis davidii contig139932, whole genome shotgun sequence.